rnacentral:tRNA from 4 species
GCCCGGAUGGUGGAAUCGGUAGACACAAGGGAUUUAAAAUCCCUCGGCGGCAACGCUGUGCGGGUUCAAGUCCCGCUCCGGGUACCA